GUACCCUUACAGGCCAGCUCUUUUUUGGCUGGCUAGGUGACAAGAUGGGACGAAAACGUGUGUAUGGCAUGACCCUUAUUCUCAUGGUUAUCUGUUCGGUUGCCUCUGGGCUUUCCUUAGGCCAUGACCCAAAAGCUGUUAUGGCUACCCUUUGCUUCUUUCGCUUCUGGCUUGGUUUUGGUAUUGGUGGUGACUAUCCUCUUUCUGCUACCAUCAUGUCCGAAUACGCUAACAAAAAAACUCGUGGUGCUUUUAUUGCUGCUGUUUUUGCCAUGCAAGGUUUUGGGAUUUUGGCUGGAGGGAUGGUUGCUAUUAUAGUUUCUGCAGCUUUUAAGGCUAAAUACCCUGCUCCAACUUAUGAGAUGGAUGCAAAUGGGUCAACCGUGCCAGAAGCUGAUUACGUUUGGAGGAUCAUUUUGAUGUUUGGGGCGCUCCCAGCUUUACUUACUUAUUACUGGCGCAUGAAGAUGCCUGAAACUGCUCGUUACACUGCCUUAGUCGCCAAGAAUGCAAAACAGGCUGCAGCAGAUAUGUCAAAAGUUCUUCAGGUUGACUUGGAAGCAGAACAGGAGAAGCUAGAACCAAAAAAAGGGAGUGAUUUUGGUUUGUUCACCAGAGAAUUUCUUCUUCGACAUGGGCUUCACUUGCUUGGUACCACAAGUACUUGGUUUUUGUUGGACAUUGCCUUCUACAGUCAGAACCUGUUUCAAAAGGACAUCUUUAGUGCCAUUGGUUGGAUUCCAAAGGCAAAAACCAUGAACGCUCUUGAAGAAGUUCAUAAAAUUGCAAGAGCGCAAACUCUCAUUGCGCUAUGCAGCACUGUUCCUGGAUAUUGGUUCACUGUGGCAUUGAUUGAUAAGAUGGGGAGAUUCAAAAUUCAAUUGAUGGGCUUCUUCUUCAUGACUGUGUUCAUGUUUGCCUUGGCAAUUCCAUACCAUCACUGGACUCUACCAGACAACAGAAUUGGGUUCGUUAUUAUGUACUCCUUAACCUUCUUCUUUGCAAAUUUCGGUCCAAAUGCCACUACAUUUGUAGUCCCCGCUGAAAUUUUCCCUGCAAGGUUAAGAUCAACAUGCCAUGGAAUAUCAGCUGCAUCAGGUAAGGCAGGGGCAAUGGUGGGUGCAUUUGGCUUUUUGUAUGCUGCAGACAGUAUUGGAGUGAAGAAAUCACUUAUAAUUCUGGGCUUCAUUAACUUGCUGGGGAUGUUGUUCACAUUUUUGGUACCCGAAUCAAAAGGGAAGUCACUGGAAGAAAUAUCUGGGGAAGCUGAGCAAGAAAAUGGGACAGAAACACAACCUGGGCAGCAGGAUAGUAAUGGUGUCCAAAGUGUACCAGUUUAAUUAAGCUUUGUAAUGUUUUAUUAAUUACUAUGAAUCUUCGAAGUCACAUUAGGGAGUGUAUUUAUGUGUCUUAUAUAUUGGAGCUUUGGAUGCUGUUUGCACUUCCUGCAUAAUAAUAUAAGAUUCUUAUAUACACUAUUGAAUGUAAACAUCUCUGGAAUACCAUUUUUAAUAUCUUUAAAGUUGUUGAUUGGAGAUUUCGUUAAUAGUUUAGUUUAGCGUUUGAAGAAGAAAAAUUGUGUGAUCCAACCCUAUUUGAUGAACACAAUCUUGAAGAAGAAGCCCAUCAAUUGAAAUCGAAAUAUGUUUGUACUCUAGAGCCUAUCCAAAAAAGGAAUUUGGAUUUUAAAAUCCAAAUCAGUGGUCUCAAAUCCACAACAAUGCAUUCUCUUGUUCUAACUUGUUUUAGUGCAGUCAAAUGAGUUCGUACAUUUAUGUCAUAAUGUCUGUUUAUAUGUAAACAACUACGUUUAUAGUAUCAAACUUAGUUAACCUUACUGUUUUUAUAUUUUAAUAGUUUAACUUACAUCAAUGUUCUCUUACAUAUGUCUCCUAGAGUCUGUCCAUUGUUGUUCGGAAGGCUACUAGUUUUUGGCCUCUGUGGCCCGGUGCCUACACCUUGAUCGCUAUGGGAGCGAGCUUCUUCCGAAGGCAACCAAGAGAGCAAAUGGAAAAGAUGUCAACCCUGGCAUUGGAAGCAUUUGCUAGCUCUUGAUUUGCCAUAGGAACAGAGAUUAGCCAGCUAGUUAUUGUCAUGUUAGAACCGAAGAUAAACAUGACAAAAAAACAGAAAGAAGCCUGCCUGCUAGAAUAAACACUACCUCCCAUGUCAUAUUACUGUUGAAGAGACUAUUUCAAUGCAACUUGUUAGGAACCUUUCAUUCACAAUUAAAACCAGUCUUAUAUUACCUAACAUCAACAAGAAAACAAGUAAGUUUUUCAAUGGAGUAGGGUGCUGCAGUGAAAACAUCUUUUGAGAUUAAAGCAUGGAACGCGUUCCAUAUGACCAACAACACCAUGGGCUCUAAGCCUCAGCGAAUGGGCUUGAAGCAACAAGCAGGAAUGGUCUAGAUGAAAAAUCUUUAUGCAUUGAUUUUUAUUUAUAUUUUUUUUCUUACCAUUUCAAAAUUGAAGAGAGAAAUAAGGGAUGAGUCACACCCACCACAUCGAAGACUUUUCGUCACUUGAAAAAUAAAUUAUGCAAGUACGGAAGCAGAGGAGAUAUUUUUAUCUUUGAUUUGUUAAUCUUAAUAUUUCUUAUGGUAUUUCAAAAAAUAAAUAAAUAAAUAAAUAUAGAUACAGUCGUGGGUACAAUCCACCCACAUGCUCCAAAUGGUUUUGUUCGUUAGGAGAUUUCGUAGAUUUCUCUGAUAUUACACUGUUUUUUUUUUUAUCUUUUUUCGAAACUAUUUUUAUUUUCCUUAUGUAGUUUUCUUUGGAUUAAACGUGUUUUUUUUUCCUCCUUUGAUAUUUUAGCGGAUGAAUGAUUGGUGGAUUCAGUUUUCCUCCCUUGAGGAAGUAAUUGAUGUAUACUUCUCCUAUUUUCUUAGCUGAAGGAAAUAGAAAGAAGGAAAAAGAAGAGAAAGUAAUUGAUGUCCACUUCUCUGCUUUUCCUUUUCACAUUCUUCUCAUUUCUUAUAUUAUAAUAAAAUUAUAAUUUUUAUUUUAAACUUUAAAUUAUAAAUAUAUAUUUAUUAUCAUUAAGAGUAUGGGAGCAUUUAAUCUGUCUUUUUCCUUGUUAAAAAUCAUCAUCACAAAAAAUUGUUUUUUAAAAUAUUUAACAUCAGCAUAAUAAUAAUAAUCAUAUCUUUAAUUUGUUUUUCUUAUAGAAUAUUCAUCACAAACCUCGUAGCUUCUCUACAAUGCUUCAGCCAUGGUUUCCCCUUUUCUUCCAAUUGGUCUUUAUUUUCUUUUUUAAUAUUAGCAAGGCGUAUGAGCAGAGGGUUAUAUGAUAAUAAAAAGUGGAAAAAGCUUAUAUGAUAAUAAAACUACCAACUCUGCUUUUUUUUUAACCCAAAACAAUAUUUAAAAAAAGAUUCUCAGCCUUUAAUUAAUUGCUCCCUCUUUUUGCACAUCCAACCCCUUUUCCAACUUAUUAUAACGCUUUGUUAAGGAUUUUAUUUUUUUGAAUUUAGGUCGUGACUUUCAUCAUACUAUUUUUUAAAAAAACAAAAACAAGAAAAAACACGCCAUAACUUUUGACUUUGCUGCCAGGGGUGAUGGGACCAAAACAGUAGUCAUACUACUUCCAAAAUGAAUAAACUAUUCCUUUGUCGGAAUGGGUUUCCGUUCUCUGAUCAAUUUUGCUCUUGGGACCAGUUUGAGGUUGGUGUAACUUCACGUCACAAGUUGUUGUAUGUAUAUUGACUUUGAAGUCCUAUCAAUGUCACACUCCAAUCUUGAGGUACGACAAACGUCAUAUAUAUGUAAUAUAUAGUCUUAACAGAUAUAAAAAGCUUCAAUAUAUAUUUUAUUUAAUAUUAAUUAAAAAAAUUAAAAUAUUUAAAAGAUGUAAUAAUUCAUAAAACUAAAUUUAUCUGUAGAAAUUUAAAAGAUUAUAAUUCGAUAAUAUUUAAAAUUAAGUCUCUAAAACCAUAAAAUUAACGUGUCAAAAUAAAAGUUUGAAUAAUAAUUUAAGAUAAUUCGAUGUUCAUAAUAUUUAAAUAAAUCUUAAACAAUUUAAAUACUACUAAAUUAAACAUUACUCUCUGAAAUUCUCGUAUGGUUGAUCAAAUCACAACUUAAAAUAAUUUGAAGGAAUGAGUGAAUCUAACUACUUUGCAAAUAACUAACAUCCUUUCAGCCGGAUUAAGCAUACUUAAUACAUUUAGGCCAAAGUGUCAUUAAUAUAAAUAUCAAAAUAAAAUAUUAAGUAAUCUUAUUUAAAAUCAUAUACUUCAAAAUUUAUACUUUCAGAUAACAUAACAAACAUAUUUCAUAAAUAUUUUAAAUUUUAAUGGUCUUUUGUAAAAUGCUACGACUACACUUAACUCCUGUGGCAUAAGUUAAAAAUAAAUUCACAAUUAACUCCGAUGGCACGGGUCAGAAAUAUAUCAAAAGCAACCAUUAGCUACACUGAACAAAUAUCAUAAUAUCACUAUUCUAUAACUGGUGGUGCAAUUAAGAAAUCGAUUUUUAAUCAUAGACUACAUGUCUACAUGGCCAAUAUUUAACCCUCAUUGGCAAGGUCAGAGUAUAGCCAUACUAUGAGAUAAAACAGAAACAUAUUUUUUUAGAUUAUCCAAAUUUCAUAAAAUAGUAUAUUAACUUUCUCAAACAUAUCUCAUACACAUCAAAAGCAUAUUCGUUUCAGAUUAAAUAUAUAUAUUUAUAUUCACGAAACAUAUAUACAUACAUUAUACAAAGUCAUACAAAUUUCAAAAUCAGAAAUCAUGCUUUGCGUAAGCUAAAUUCUAAAUUCAACAUAUAAAACUCAUAUACAUAUACAUUUUGCAUGCUCAACCUGAUUUUAAUGAAUCAUAGAAUAAAAUAUCAAAUAUCAUGUACAAAUUCAUAUUGAGGCUAAUUUUUAGUGUGUUAAAACACUAAAAAGAUAUCAGUCACUUAUUUGAUUUUGUCAAUUUUACUUUCAAGCAACAAAUUAAAAAAUCCUCUUAGUAGCCUAAUAUAACAAGAAAAUACAUACAAAAUCAUAACUAAAUUUGCAAACAAAUGCUACAAGAUGACUAUCGUUGGCCAUCCUAAACACUUAGGGUGUGUAGCGAUUUUUAUUACAAUUUAAAAACAUUUUCGAUUAAUAAGAUAAUAUUUUAUUAUUAUAUAUAUUUUUUAAUUAAUAAAAUUUUAAAUAAAGUUGAGAAUUUAAACUUAAAUCAUACAAUCAGUAAGGAUUUUAAUUUCCGAUAGAAACAUAAUUUCAUUCAUAAAAAUCAUAUUUAUAAUUUUUCAUUAAUUUUUGAUAUUUUAAUAAAAUCUACUAAUUUAAUAAAUAAAUUUAUAAAAUAUAAAGAUAUAUUCUUUUAGAUAUAAAAAUACAGUAAAAAACACAUAUCCAAUCUACAACAGAAUUUAUUAAACAUUAAUUAAUAAUUAAAUUAAAAAAAAUUAUUUUCUGAAAUUUUUCAGAAUCUAGAUAGCCAUUUGGCCUAUUUUGAGCCAUUGUAACUCCUAACCCAAAUUGUUUCCAGUGGUAAAAUCAACACCAAUUUGAAGUAUUCAUAUCAUAUUGCAUCACCAAAAUUUGUUUCAAUUAAAAAGAAUACAAAAUUCCCAAGUUUUGAAAGCCAAAAUUUUAGAAAUCAUCACAAAAAUAUCUAAAUUUUUAAGUUUUCAGUAUCAAUAAACUAUUUUGAGGCUUUAAUUCUCUUAACACAAGAAGCCCCUAAUCGAGCCAUUAAUAUCAAAUUAAACACCUCAUUUCAUACUACAAAAGCCUUCAAAGAGACGACCUAAAAUGUUACUAGAAUAUGAAGUUUCGGUGACCCAAAUUUGGUUUAUCAAAACUAUUAAAAAUCAAGUCUCCAAUUAACUUCGAAAAUUCGUAUUUUCUUAACCACAAAGCCAAACGAGAUGUUACAAAAACCAUUGAAAAUAUCUUUUCAAUAUCUUUCCAUUGGUACCCACCAUGCCACUGGAAAGUCAUCAGAAGAAUAUCGAGUUUAAAUAAAAGUUAAGAAAAUACAAUUAACUUAGGACUUUUGUAUCCAAAUUAUGAAAAUUACAACCCUAAACAUACCUUAAUAAGCAAUCCCUUAAAUACAUUUUCCUUUUCUCUAUCUUUCUUCUUCCUUCUGACUGACUACUUAUCUUUUGAGAUAAAUUAGUAUGAGUUUUCUGCCUUUUCUUUUAAAACUUAUAAACUAACCCAACUAUAUUAUUUUUUUUAAACGUAAUUUAGUGAGUUACUAUCUGGUAAAAUAAACUGACAUUUACCCCACUAAUUUAAACGUGAUAAAUAAAACUGACAUUAAUUAAACUUUUUUAUUUACUUAAAGACCUUUUUUCUAUUUUUUUAAUUAUUAAGGCAUCCAGGAUUAUCACUGUAAAUAAAUAAAAUAUUAAAACAACAUUUACUUAUUUAUUUUUAUAAAACUAUAAUUUAAUAAAUUUAAAUAUUUUUAUAAUAUAUACUUUGUGAGGAGUAUUACAGUCAGCUAAUCCAUAGCAAAACGAAAUACAUUAAUGUUGAUAAUAAUAGCUGCUUGUUUGAAGCCUGAAGGAAAUUAUAAUGGUUGUUGUCAUGUUUAAUAAGCAUUAAUUAUAAAUUAAUGAGGAAUUUUUUUUAUCCCUAAAUUAAAUAUCCCUUCACAAGGAAAAACAUGUUUAUUAAAAUAUAUUGCAGUGUCGUGUACAAAAGAAAAGUAUAGACUAUAGUUUUAAUAAAAGUCAACUAUUUGGGUUGGAUUGGAGUGUUUGAUUUUGUAAAGAAGUUCCUGUAGCAGUUCAGAAUUACAGAACAUUUUCCCUAGCGUAGCAUAAAGGAAAAGAAUAGGAAUAAUUUUUGUAAUCUCUAUGAACAAAAGCACACAAUCCUGUGUACGGCAAAAGCUAGUUCGUUCCAGUUCUUGUUAGGCAAUCUUUCGGUUCUUCUUAAUUUCCAUCAUCGAGCCUGCAGGAAUCUACAUGCUUUCAAGCAUUCAAAGCCUCCAGUAAGUUAAUUUAGGUAUGGCAAUCUAAAAUGGGUUUUAUUUUAUCUAUGGCGUGAGGAGUAUGAGCAGCUCAGAGUUGACUGACGACUGGAUAGGCUAGAGUCUGAAGUUAUCCACUUUAACUUAUUCCCAAUUUUUAUGGUCACCAUGUCUUUGGUAAGAUGAUAUGACCAACUCACUGUCCCUUGCGUCCUUGUCUUCCAUGCUUAUAUCAGAGGAUGCGGUCCAUUGAUUUCACUUCCAAACCAAGUUGACGAAACAGUAGAAGGCUUUCACCACGAAUGCUAGGCCCCCAGAGCUGGAGCAAGAGACAAAAGGCAAAAUAUUGCUUGACAAUGAUUCAAGACAGUGAAACCAGAUAUAGCAGAGUUGGAAAAUUCAAUUGCCAGAUGAUGCAAACAAUUCUGAUUGUUUGUCAGCUUGACAUCUUCUUGUUGGUACAAAGUUGCUUUUAUGUAAUAUGAAAGUGAAGGCCAAAACUUGUUCAAAAAGCAGCGCCAAGCUCGCAUUCAUGGUUGACAAACUAUAAGAAGGUGAGAUCGAAAGGCAGAAAGAUUCUUAAGAUGACAAUACAAAACCAGCCAAAGGCUAACAAGCCAAAUUUUGGAUGUUGGUCCCAAAUAUUUGGUCUCCAUUAUUCUACAUCACCUUUAUACUUUUAGCCCUCCCCCUGAUCUAUACUCUCAGGUAAGAGUCCACUAAAAUUUUGGGCAAAAGAUAUUGUUCUUUCCGUUAUGCUUACUGUUCUAUUAGUGGAAUGGGAACUGCAACUAUGGAUGAUUAUCUCACUAGUUGCUUAAGCUACAACGCACCACGAUUAUAUAUGGCACAUGCAACAAAUCAGAUUUAGCUUUUGACAAAGUAGUAUUUGGAAUUAAAUACUCAUAUAUAUCACAAUUUUUCCUAAAAGAUGAAAUGAAUGUUGUCAUGAAUCGAAAUAAGAACAAAAAAAGAUAUACAAUAAGUUAAUACAGGAAUUAUGAGCAUCAAGAAUUGUCUAGUUUCACCAAUAUUAAUCCGGCAGGCUCAAGAGUGACAAGUGUAGUUUGUGAAAACUAAUCCAUUGUUCUACAAGUAAUUAAACAGUAGUACAAGCAAAAAGGCGUUUGAAUGGAGGAAUAUGUGUCAGUUGCUGUCAAUAUCUUUCUGAUAACGGCUAUAUUGGAGGAAACGAAGGUUUCGAUCUGGCUAGAAACCAAACUUUUCAGCUAAAAACGUCGAUCAAGCAGCCAAUUGUUGAACAGUUGUGCAAUUCUAAGUCCCAAUAAAGUGAAAGGAUGAUGAGACAGAUUGUAUGGCAUUAAUUUUAAAAUGGUAUCAUUCUUUUGUACUUCUACAGGGAGUGCGGACUAAAUGAUUUACGUGAAGAAUAAGUGCAAUAAAGGGUAGAGUUAAAUAAUCAAGGAUUCAAUCCAAACUCCACGGAGGGAAAAGGCUGCAACAAAAGUGGUGCCUCAGAAUAAUUCCUCUCUUUGAGGUUUAUAAUUAUAAAAAAUUAAAUAUGUAGUUUCCACCGUGGAAAUUACUAAUGCCAUCAAGCAUUGAUUAUUAAAUUGCUAUCCAGCAUGACCAGAUAUCCCCAAAGACACUAUUUGAUUGCCUUAUACGAAUUGGAUGUAACCAUAAUCCUUAAUUUAUCUUUUUUAUUCUUUCCCUUUUUCCUUGACAUUUAAUAUCAUCAAUAAUCAUAAAUUAUCUGAUUUUUUAUUAAAAAAGUGAAUUUUUUUUUUAUCAAAACUGGAGAAAGGUUAAAAAUCUAAAUGCAUAUGCAUCUAUUUAAGCUUUCCAGGUAUAAAAAAAAGUUACUAGAAAUAAGUGUAUUUAGAUUUCAAACGAAUGAUUUAAAUUCUGAAUAAAACAAUUGUAUUUGUGGGUGUAACCAAUUAAUCCUUUUCCAGCAAAAAUGGAAUCUUCUAUAUGAUUUUUCUUACCUUUCCAAAGUAGUAUACUAAUUCCUUUUGCAGAUAAAACUUUGGUGAAAAAUGUUUUUUAACUUUGAAACAUAGGUUUUUGAUGUAAAAUUAUAUUGACAUAACCAGAUUAUUAACUUGGUCCAAUAAAAAGAAAACCAUCUCGAGAUAGAGCAAAAUUAAUUAUUUUGUUCCUAAUAAAAAAUAAUUGCUUUGUUUUAUCAUGAUCCCAAUUUUAAUACAUAAGCUAGAUUUAGUUAUAUUUGCCGUAAAUUGAUAAUCUGAAAUCCAUGUGUCCUGGCCCUUCCCAUUUACAGAUAACAAUGCUAAAAAAUAAAAUAAAAAAAUCUAAUUAAGAUUAUUGAUAAUCAUAUCCCUNNNNNNNNNNNNNNNNNNNNNNNNNNNNNNNNNNNNNNNNNNNNNNNNNNNNNNNNNNNNNNNNNNNNNNNNNNNNNNNNNNNNNNNNNNNNNNNNNNNNNNNNNNNNNNNNNNNNNNNNNNNNNNNNNNNNNNNNNNNNNNNNNNNNNNNNNNNNNNNNNNNNNNNNNNNNAAUGCUAAAAAAUAAAAAAAAAAAUCUAAUUAAGAUUAUUGAUAAUCAUAUCCCUCAAAGACAAAUCUUAUUAAGCAAACCCAAAACCCAGAUCAGAUUUGAAAUCUCAAAUAUGGAAAUGAUAGUUAGGACUAACCAACUUCAGUCCCGGAAAGAUUAACCAAAGCUAGAAAAAUAUGGAACAAUUGUAGAGAAUAUGCCACUUUGGAAAACCAAGAUUCUCACGUAAUUAUUUAUUUUUAAAUGGGAAAAAGAAAAAAGAGAGCGUCCAUAGCAGUUAAAUACGGAACCAACUCCCCUCUCAUCCUUCCCUUCUAUCCAUCACUACCCAUCUCUUCUUCUUCUUCUCUCUCUUUUUUUCUUUCUUCCUUGCAUUAGCUUAUUAAACCAUUGGAAGCUCUUUAUCUAUAUAUAUAUAUAUAUAUUACGAGACGUCUUCUUGUUCUUGUCUAAAUUUACUCAGCUGUGUCUCUCUUUCUUUCAUUGGUUUGCACAUUUAACGUAAGCUUUCUCUUGCUCUUAAGUUAUGGAUUUGAUAUGUAGUAAUGAGUUCUGAUUGAGUCGUAGAUGAUAUUUGAUCACGGAGUUUGACUUCUUUAUGUAAGGCUGUGUGUUGCAUAGAGUUUCGAGAUACGCAAACGAAAUCCAGAGUCCAAAGACUUGAGACUUUUCCGUUUUCUUUUAGUUACUGCUCUUCUACUAGGAUUCUCUCUCUCUCUUUUUACCCUGCAGGUUUUAUUCUUUCUGGUGCUAAAUCUUUUUCAUUCUUCGUUAUGAUUCUCUCUCUAUUUGAGGUUUUCGCAAUGUCCACGUGAAGACAUUCAACUUUGUUUUCCAUUAGGGUAUUCCUGGUAGGGGCGGGGACAGUUCAACCUGGGUCUUUUAUUAGUAUAAGUUUUUUCUUAGAUUAUUUUUAAAAAUAAUAUUUAAAGAUAAGAUAUUUUUAAAAAUAGUUCUCUUUAUAAUUUAAUUAUUUUUAGUUAAGUUUGACAAAAUUAUCUUUAAUGAAAUUACACAUCAUAAUUAGGUUGUUAUAAGUUAUAUACAACCAUAGUUAAAUUGUUACACGUUAUAUAUAAAAAUAUAUUACACGUCAUGUAUAAAAAAUAUUAUUAUUACACAUCAAGUACAAAAACAUGUUACACGUUAUAUUAGAAAAAUGUUAAUGUUCCACAUUAUGUUGAAAAAAUAUUAUUGUUAUACGUCAUGUUGAAAAAAUAUUAUUAUUAAUGCCUAAAAUGUUGUUACUUAUAAACUAAAACUUCAAAUUCUUUCAACUCUAUUCAUUGUUUUUUGACAAUUUGGCACCGAUUAAAAUAUUUCUAACAUGUUUUCAUAAUUCAAAACACAAAUUUUCUUAUCUAAAAUAUCUAUUUCGAUUAAAAAUAAAAAAAAAUUUCUUAGAAAACUUAGGUUUAUAAUUUCAAAUUUUUGAGUAUAUUGGUCUCAAAUUGAUCCAAUUAAAAGUUAUUUCAAACAUCUGUGAUCAUUUCUACCAUUUUAGUUUUAUCCAAAAUACUUAAAAAUUAAAUUUUCCAAGCACAUCAAAAUUAUAAAGAGAAAUCUAAAAGUGUGGGAGAGAGAAAUUGAGAGCAUAGCAGACGAAUGUCGAAGAGAGAAAUCGAUAAAAUUAGAAAGAGCUUGAUGGUGAGAGAGAGAAAUCGAAAGCACAAAUAGAAAGAAAUUGUGUUAAAUGUUUUAAUUUAUUUGAAAUAGUUUCAAGAAUGUUUUUAUCAAGUUAUAACUAAAUAUGAUUAAAAAUAAUUAAAUUUAUUUAAAUAAUUAUUUUUAAAAUGCUUGAAGAUUAUUCUUCACAAUCUUUUUUUUUCUUGGUACAUCAAUUAUUAAGUUUGAGCCAGAUUGCAAAACAUUGAGUGCAAAUCUUUUCACUCUUUGAUGAUUGCUAGGAAGGAGAAGAAAGCACGAAAGAAUCUUUCUGUCAAUCCAAAAUUUUCAGUUCAGUUUUUCUUGUCAAAUAUCCUAAAUUGUAGUUACAUCCUUUAUUUAAUGGAAAUAUGUUAUUUCUAUUAAACUCUUUUGUAGUGUCUUAGUUACACUUUAUUGACCUAAGACUUUGUAUUAUAGUCUCGGUCAUUUUCUCAUCACAUUUAUUUCUUUUGUCAUCUUCUAUCAACCUUAGCGUCUUGAACCUCGAUACAUCCACACGAUUUUGGAAAAGCAUUGCCUUGCCUUUCUAUCUUUUUUUUGUUUCCUUGCACCUUCACACAGUUCACAUGGCUAAUAGUCCUGACUUCAGCUUUCAUCAGAUAUACAAUAAUUGGCACCACCACCAUUGAUCAUGUGAUUUAUUUUUAAUUUCUGUAAUUAUAUUAGUGCAUAAAUUGAUAUUUAAUUCUGUUUUCGCAAUGCUUUCAGUGGAAAACAAACAGAUAGCAUAGCAAAGACUUCUGAUCAGGAGGAAUCGUCAUGGCAAACGACAAACUGCAAGUUCUUAAUGCACUUGACGUAGCCAAAACACAAUGGUAUCAUUUCACAGCAAUUAUCAUUGCUGGCAUGGGAUUCUUCACUGAUGCAUAUGAUAUCUUUUGCAUUUCCUUGGUGACUAAAUUGCUUGGUCGCAUAUAUUACCACAAGGAAGGUGCUGCUAACCCUGGUGAUCUUCCUUCUAAUGUAACGGCUGCUGUUACUGGUGUAGCGUUCUGCGGUACCAUUGCAGGCCAGCUCUUUUUUGGUUAGCUCGGUGACAAGAUGGGACGAAAACGUGUGUAUGGCAUGACCCUUAUGCUCAUGGUUAUCUGUUCGGUUGCCUCUGGCCUUUCCUUAGGCCAUGCCCCUAAAGCUGUUAUGGCUACCCUUUGCUUCUUUCGCUUCUGGCUUGGUUUUGGUAUUGGUGGUGACUAUCCUCUUUCUGCUACCAUCAUGUCCGAAUACGCUAACAAAAAAACUCGUGGUGCUUUUAUUGCUGCUGUUUUUGCCAUGCAAGGUUUUGGGAUUUUGGCUGGAGGGAUGGUUGCUAUUAUAGUUUCUGCAGCUUUUAAGGC
rnacentral:lncRNA from 1 species